GACGAACGCUGGCGGCGUGCUUAAUACAUGCAAGUCAACUGAACUUAGGAUAGCAAUAUUUUAAGGGAGGUGGCGCACGGGUGAGUAACACGUAGGUAAUCUGCCUUUAGGUCUGACAUAACCUACCGAAAGGUAGGCUAAAAUCAGAUGAUGCAGCGGCUCGACAUCGAGACAGUUGUUAAAUCUUCGGAGCCUAAAGAUGAGCCUGCGUCUGAUUAGGUAGUUGGCGGUGUAAUGGACCACCAAGCCUGCGAUCAGUAGCUGGUCUGAGAGGAUGAUCAGCCACACUGGAACUGAGACACGGUCCAGACUCCUACGGGAGGCAGCAGUAAGGAUAUUGCUCAAUGGCCGAAAGGCUGAAGCAGCAACGCCGCGUGGAGGAUGAAAUACUUUGUAUGUAAACUCCUGUAAGAAGGGAAAAAUGUUCCGAUUUAUCGGAAUUGAUUGUACCUUCAGAGUAAG
rnacentral:rRNA from 1 species